AGAGCUAAGAACAGAUCAACUCCUAUCGUACGCCUGCCUGGAGACGGGCCAGGUAGGAACCAGGAAGAGCUGCGGAGGAAGAUAGAGAACGGAGUGAAGGAGAUCUGGUACUUUGUCCGCAGUGAGGUCAAGAAGCUGGGUCACAUGGAGCAGGGGGACCUGCAGAAACACAUCGACACACUGCUGCAGGAGCUGGGACACCAGCAGAGGUCCAUCAUGACUGACCUGCACUACCUGAGCCAGGCUGACGGAGCAGGAGACUGGAGAGAGAAGGAGGCCAAGGACCUGUCUGACCUGGUACAGAACAGGAUCACAUACCUCCAGGUACCGUAAUGUCCACCACACAGCUCA